UUGUGCCAGCCGCCGCGUAAUUCCAGCUCCAAUAGCGUAUAUUAAAGUUGUUGUGGUUAAAAAGCUCGUAGUUGAACCUUGGGCCUGGCUGGCCGGUCCGCCUCACCGCGUGCACUGGUCCGGCCGGGCCUUUCCCUCCGUGGAACCCCAUACCCUUCACUGGGCGUGGCGGGGAAACAGGACAUUUACUUUGAAAAGAUUAGAGUGCUCCAGGCAGGCCUAUGCUCGAAUACAUUAGCAUGGAAUAAUAAAAUAGGACGCGCGGUUCUAUUUUGUUGGUUUAUAGGACCGCCGUAAUGAUUAAUAGGGACAGUCGGGGGCAUCAGUAUUCAACUGUCAGAGGUGAAAUUCUUGGAUCAGUUGAAGACUAACUACUGCGAAAGCAUUUGCCAAGGAUGUUUUCAUUAAUCAGGAACGAAAGUUAGGGGAUCGAAGACGAUCAGAUACCGUCGUAGUCUUAACCAUAAACUAUGCCGACUAGGGAUCGGACGGUGUUAUUCAUGACCCGUUCGGCACCUUACGAGAAAUCAAAGUGCUUGGGCUCCAGGGGGAGUAUGGUCGCGAGGCUGAAACUUAAAGAAAUUGACGGAAGGGCACCACCAGGGGUGGAGCCUGCGGCUUAAUUUGACUCAACACGGGGAAACUCACCAGGUCCAGACACAAUAAGGAUUGACAGAUUGAGAGCUCUUUCUUGAUUUUGUGGGUGGUGGUGCAUGGCCGUUCUUAGUGGUGGGGUGGACUUGUCUGCUUAAUUGCGAUACGGACGAGACCUUUAACCUGCUAAAUAGGCCCGCAUUGCUCCGGC
rnacentral:rRNA from 1 species